AAAACAUAACCUUUAGCCAAACAAAUAUUAAAGGCAACGCCUGCCCAGUGAACAAUUAAACGGCCGCGGUACCCUAACCGUGCAAAGGUAGCAUAAUCAUUUGUCUACUAAUUAUAGACCUGUAUGAAAGGCAAAAUGAGGGUCUAGCUGUCUCUUGUGGUCAAUCAAUUAAACUGAUCUCCCAGUAAAAAAGCUGGAAUAACUACAUAAGACCAGAAGACCCUGUGAAGCUUAAACUAAACUAUUAAACCAAAUAAUAGAUACUUUCGGUUGGGGCGACCUUGGAAAAAAAAAGAACUUCCAAUAAUACCUACUAUAUAGGUACCCCAGGCCCACAAGCCAACUAAUGACCCAGCACAGCUGAUAAUUGAACCAAGUUACUCCAGGGAUAACAGCGCAAUCUUCUUCAAGAGCCCAUAUCAAAAAGAAGGUUUACGACCUCGAUGUUGGAUCAGGACAUCCUAAUGGUGCAGCCGCUAUUAAGGGUUCGUUUGUUCAACGAUUAAUAGUCCUACGUGAUC
rnacentral:rRNA from 1 species